GACGAACGCUGGCGGCGUGCCUAAUACAUGCAAGUAGAACGCUGAAGGAGGAGCUUGCUUCUCUGGAUGAGUUGCGAACGGGUGAGUAACGCGUAGGUAACCUGCCUGGUAGCGGGGGAUAACUAUUGGAAACGAUAGCUAAUACCGCAUAAGAGUAGAUGUUGCAUGACAUUUACUUAAAAGGUGCAAUUGCAUCACUACCAGAUGGACCUGCGUUGUAUUAGCUAGUUGGUGAGGUAACGGCUCACCAAGGCAACGAUACAUAGCCGACCUGAGAGGGGGAUCGGCCACACUGGGACUGAGACACGGCCCAGGCUCCUACGGGAGGGAGCAGGAGGGGAUCUUCGGGAAUGGAGGGAAGGCUGGCCGGGCAACGGCGCGUGAGUGAAGAAGGUUUUCGGAUCGUAAAGCUCUGGUGUAGGGGGAGAACGAGUGGGGGAGUGGAAAGUUCACACUGUGACGGUAGCUUAGCAGAAAGGGACGGCUAACUACGUG
rnacentral:rRNA from 1 species